GUAGGGAAUCUUCCACAAUGGACGAAAGUCUGAUGGAGCAACGCCGCGUGAGUGAAGAAGGUCUUCGGAUCGUAAAACUCUGUUGUUAGAGAAGAACGUGCAUGAUAGUAACUGAUCAUGUAAUGACGGUAUCUAACCAGAAAGCCACGGCUAACUACGUGCCAGCAGCCGCGGUAAUACGUAGGUGGCAAGCGUUGUCCGGAUUUAUUGGGCGUAAAGGGAACGCAGGCGGUUUUUUAAGUCUGAUGUGAAAGCCUUCGGCUUAACCGAAGAAUAGCAUUGGAAACUGGAAGACUUGAGUGCAGAAGAGGAGAGUGGAAUUCCAUGUGUAGCGGUGAAAUGCGUAGAUAUCGGGAGGAACACCAGUGGCGAAGGCGGGUUCCUGGCCCAUGACUGACGCUGAGGUGCGAAAGCCGGGGGAGCGAACGGGAUUAGAAACCCCAGUAGUCC
rnacentral:rRNA from 1 species